rnacentral:rRNA from 4 species
CCCUUUGGGGUGUGACUGCGUACCUUUUGUAUAAUGGGUCAGCGACUUAUAUUCUGUAGCAAGGUUAACCGUAUAGGGGAGCCGUAGGGAAACCGAGUCUUAACCGGGCGUUAAGUUGCAGGGUAUAGACCCGAAACCCGGUGAUCUAGCCAUGGGCAGGUUGAAGGUUGGGUAACACUAACUGGAGGACCGAACCGACUAAUGUUGAAAAAUUAGCGGAUGACCUGUGGCUGGGGGUGAAAGGCCAAUCAAACCGGGAGAUAGCUGGUUCUCCCCGAAAGCUAUUUAGGUAGCGCCUCGUGAAUUCAUCUCCGGGGGUAGAGCACUGUUUCGGCUAGGGGGCCAUCCCGGCUUACCAACCCGAUGCAAACUGCGAAUACCGGAGAAUGUUAUCACGGGAGACACACGGCGGGUGCUAACGUCCGUCGUGAAGAGGGAAACAACCCAGACCGCCAGCUAAGGUCCCAAAGUCAUGGUUAAGUGGGAAACGAUGUGGGAAGGCCCAGACAGCCAGGAUGUUGGCUUAGAAGCAGCCAUCAUUUAAAGAAAGCGUAAUAGCUCACUGGUCGAGUCGGCCUGCGCGGAAGAUGUAACGGGGCUAAACCAU